rnacentral:rRNA from 1 species
UUACUCCUACGGGAGGCAGCAGUGGGGAAUAUUGGACAAUGGGCGAAAGCCUGAUCCAGCCAUGCCGCGUGUGUGAAGAAGGUCUUCGGAUUGUAAAGCACUUUAAGUUGGGAGGAAGGGCAGUAAGUUAAUACCUUGCUGUUUUGACGUUACCGACAGAAUAAGCACCGGCUAACUUCGUGCCAGCAGCCGCGGUAAUUAAA